rnacentral:lncRNA from 11 species
GCUGCCUUUGCAGCAUGGAUAAGGAACCUCUCUUCUUACAAAUAUAAAAACCUUAAGGAUUUUUGGAACUUUGACUAGUAAAUGGACUUUGGCUGCAGCUCCUUCCAUGGCCUAUACCUCCUGUGGAUGGUGAAUGGGGCUUUUAGCUUUCCAGAGGUUUCCAAUUGAUUGCUGCACAGGUGCAUCAACUAUCACAUGUGCUAAUUUCACAGAUGACCACUUGAAGAAACAUGGUUACAGAUCCAGUUUGAAGUACAGUUGUUGAAUUCCAGAAUUCUAUGAACAAUUUGGAAGCAGGUUAUUAGAUGAGCUAUGAAUAUCCCCAGGCCUUCGAAUAGAGAGGCCUUGUUUGCCAGCUUUCGUUUAUUUGGCUAGCACCUUUCCAUGAUGACUUAUCUCUGGAGUGCAAAAUAUAACCUUCCAGAUCGUGUCUGGCUGCAAAUCCCAUCAGUCUUAGCCAACAUAAUCAGCAGUGAAGAAUGUCAGUCAGUCAGUCUGAAGCACUGCAUGAACCUCACCCCUCUUCUAAAUUGUUGUUAUUUUAG